rnacentral:rRNA from 1 species
AGAACGAACGCUGGCGGCAUGCCUAAUACAUGCAAGUCGAACGAACACUUCGGUGUUAGUGGCGCACGGGUGCGUAACGCGUGGGAAUCUGCCCUUGGGUUCGGAAUAACAGUUGGAAACGACUGCUAAUACCGGAUGAUAUCGAAAGAUCAAAGAUUUAUCGCCCAGGGAUGAGCCCGCGUAGGAUUAGCUAGUUGGUGAGGUAAAGGCUCACCAAGGCGACGAUCCUUAGCUGGUCUGAGAGGAUGAUCAGCCACACUGGGACUGAGACACGGCCCAGACUCCUACGGAGGCAGCAGUAGGGAAUAUUAGGACAAGUGGGCGACAAGCCUGAUCCAGCAAUCGCCGCGUGAGUGAGUGAAGGCGUUUAAGGGUAGUAAAGUCUUACUUUUACCCGAGUA